rnacentral:rRNA from 1 species
UACGUAGGGGGCUAGCGUUGUCCGGAAUCAUUGGGCGUAAAGAGCGUGUAGGCGGCCCGGUAAGUCCGCUGUGAAAGUCGGGGGCUCAACCCUCGGAUGCCGGUGGAUACUGUCGGGCUCGAGUACGGAAGAGGCGAGUGGAAUUCCUGGUGUAGCGGUGAAAUGCGCAGAUAUCAGGAGGAACACCGGUGGCGAAGGCGGGUAGCUGGGCCGACACUGACGCUGAGGCGCGAAAGCCAGGGGAGCGAACGGG